GCCAUUAUGAGAAGAUAUUGUCAACUGGGAUUCCUUUUCCCAUAAGAAAACAAAAUUCUGAUUAUAGAGCAUCAACACUUUGAUCAGCAAGAUAAUUAUAGUCGUAAUUCUUUCGAGCGUUUGUUGGGAGAAGAAACUAAAAAUCUAUGGUCCCAAGUUAUCCUUCUUCCAAAACAAAAACACAGGCACAAAGAACUCUGUUGUACAAUAAUACGAACGCUUGGCCAAUAAAUAUUAAUUACAACAACAUACUACUAUGAUAAUUGCAAACGCGUUUCUCAUGACUUUAUAAAAUUUCUAAUCGUUAACAGACUUCAUCCUCCAACUAACGUGAUCUCCAAAGCCCUGUCCACGAAUCCUGCUUUAUUCGAACGUAUCCACGUUUCUUUCAGCCGUUCGACAUCGUUUCGACGAAGACGUACGGUCACAUAAAGAAGUAUAGCUGGCAAGGGCAGGGGAGUAAAAGCGACUAUAAAACGAAGAGGACAGGGAAGAUCGAUGAGCCUUCGCGGCUCCGCGUUACACAGGUGCACUACGUGCACAGGUGAACUGUGGUGAUUCUACGAAAGCACGUGCACGAUACUAAACAGAUGAGAGAGGUACAUAGAGGGACGAGAAGAGAUACGAGGCCCAGAUAGAAGUGGCGCGUGCGCCUAUGCAUCCGGCUUAAGAAAACUUCAGACACGUCGAUUCAGUGGGAAAAACGCGAGGUCUUUAUGUAACCGGUUCGGACACGAGAAGUUUAAGAAGCUCCCGUAUCCGAACGAUACGAAUAAAAGCGUGUAGGGUCUAAUGGUGUCAGAUGGUGUCUUUCGCCGUGUGUCCUGAAAAGGCGAGCAACACACGUGUUCCACGCGGGUACGACGACGAGCGUUUUGUAAUUUUGUUAAUCGUUCGUGCGAGCCAUAGCGAUUAAGUAAUGAUGGAAAGCCCGGUUGCAACGAGCAAGCCGAGCGAGCGCUACGAUUUUUGUUAGAUGCGCCUCGAUAGGCAUCUUCUGGCUGGAAUCGGUGGCCUUCGCGAUUCUUCGAUAGUUUCGGGUUUCGUGUGAGAUGUUUCUCUUUUCGAUUGGGAUAUUAGCGAUUUACCUUGCGGUAUAUUAUUCUGAAAAUCUGAAGUACAUAAGUAUGUGAAAUUGGGUCAAUCUAUUUUCUACAGGCAAGACAUUCGGUGGAUUAUUUGAGCCAUUCAAAAGAUAAGUUCAUUAAAUUAUAAAUGUUAAUUACAUCUUGCCAAAAAAAGCUGUAUUCCGGAUGUAAAUUUACUACAAUUUAUUUCUAUAUUUUUAAUAAGUUCACAAAGGCAAUAAAUCUAUUAUUUUUUGCCAGGUUUAGCAGACCUACUGUAAAUUUUACCAGAAUAGCUUAUAAUUUCCUACAAAUCGAACAAUUAACCUUGACAAAGUCAGCCAGUUCAGCUUCUGUGCGUGUCCCAUUUACUAAAUAUAUACUCUAUACUACCAUCGAAAUACAUAAAAUUUAAUGAAAUCCAUCCAUGAUUUCAUAACUACCAAACACUUGCCGUAACCAACCAAGCGUGCCUAUACUGAUGAAUGGGGGUGUAAAUAAGAGAGAUUAAAACCAUCAUGUUCUCACCAAAGAAACACUAUCACAGAAGAGAUAAAUACUAAAAGAUCGUUGAAAGCAACAUUCGAGGAUGCCAAUCGGCGCGUAAACACGAUCGAGAGUGAUCAGGCAGUUUUUCACGCGAGAUCGUUGGAUUUAUCGAUGAUCGGCGAGCGUCGACGAGGACGCGGUUGCAACGUUUGACGUUAAUCGAUGGAAACUUUAUAGCCAGGCGAUAUAUUAGCGGAGAAGGCAGGUGUUGGUGUCGAUCGGUCGGCGAAACCGUGUGGUAGCGGUUCGCCGGCAAAAAUUCCAGAGGUCCGGGACCGGUUCCUCCCAAAAAAUUGGCGCCGAGCGGACCAUGUUUCGGGUCAAAGAACGACCUUGCCUCUCCGUGCCCCGUUCGUCGCUCGUGUGUGUUCCCCACGUACUUUUUCGCGUCCUCGUGCCCCACCGCCGCGAUACAUCGUGGUUUCGCAUCGCCACCUCGACGCCAGUGGCGUAAUAUUACACGAUCGUUCGAAAUAAAAGGAAGAAGAGAAAAAAAGCAACAUACCAGAGAAAACACGAAAACAGAAAUAGUUAAUCGCUGGAAUCCGGUGGCGCUUGGAAGUUUACAGAAUCUCGAAUUUCUCCCGAUUUUCUGUACGAUUGCCCGGAGCAUUGUAUUUAUUAUCGCCAAGAUCAGAAACAAGCGUAAAAUAGUGACUACUGUUUUGCAGAAACUGCAUAUGUUCUUAUAAAAAGUAUCGAUGGCAUAUGUAAUAAUGAAUGUUUUAAUAUUGUUGUUUAUCGUGUAUAUGAAUAAAGGUGUAACUUGCGACGAUAGUAUUAUAUAGAAAGUGAUAAUUCAAUUUUAAAUGCGACUAUUUAAAUUGUCGCGACUUAUAUUAAUAGGCGUGUGAAAUUGGAAAUUGGUCAAAUAUUUCACUAACCAAAUGGUUACUGGGAAAUAGUCGCCUGAAAUUUGUACAGCGUUACAGCGUGAAGUAGGUUUCUCAUAGCGGAGCCUAUAGAAGCUUAUAUAGAUUCAGAGAGUCAGCACGAACAAUGAACGUGUGCACGGCGUCUGCAUCUGUUCGAGAAAGUGCAAGCGUUUUGUAAUCUCGCGUAAUUUUACGAGGACAGAGGCUCGCGGCUGAUGCGAUUCGACUUGCUGGCCAUCUGUCUACGCGGCGAGAUUUUGUUAUAGCGAGUGUUUUACGCGGUCCCUUGCGCCAUAGUAAUACCGUGAAAAAUCGUGAUAUUAAGGUUAUUCAGUCCGAGUAAUUAAUCAUACUUUGAACGUACGAAUAUUGCACUUAAAACGAGACUGAUUGCCCAAGAAUAGAAUAAUUAAUGUACUCCCAGGGCGAUUAUUUAGUACCUUUCGUCGCUACCGAUCACCGUUAAACGUAAGACAUCGUCAAACAAAACGAACGUUUCGGGCGACAAUAAGGAAACUCGAUCGCAUCGAUACACGUGCUCUUUAGUUGCCAUUGUAACGAGAUACAAACAAUCGAAGGAGCUUUUUUUCGUUACCGCGUUACGCCAGUGGCUGAUACACUUAUUGAGUACGCGAUCGGUGGCGUGCAACCGCGCAUGCGCAUGAUCGCCGCAAAGUUGCGCACAAGCGAACGCGCGAACCGCGCACAACAAGGCAAUUGUGCAACUCGCCACUCGACGAUAGGGGGACAAGGGGGCGAAGAGCGCCGAUCGGUGGCGCGGCCGCCAAAAGUGAAAUCGAGAGGUGGAACACAGGACGAAACGGAGGGGAAUCGCCGGCAGCUGUUAAAUGAAAACAUAGGAUUAAGGGUAAACCAGGAGCUAGAGAGAGGCGAGCCAUUAUGCAUGAUCGAGAUCGCGGAUAUCUUGCCAAUUUUGCUCUCUUUCGAUGUACUAUUGCUCACCAGAUAUUUGAACAAGAAGUAUUUGAACGCUUAUCAUAACGAGAAUUUAAGUAUACAAUGUAUGUAUUAUAUAAGACAUUUUGAAACUUCAUUAGUGCUAGUAAUAAAUCACGUCUAUCGUGACUAUAUUGGUAGAGUUUAAAUCCAAUUUGAAAAUGUACACAGGAGAUACAAACUAAGAAAAUGAUGAAACAGUGGCUAUAAAAAGUAUUAACACAUUACUGUAUUUAUUAUAUAGCAUUUACAUACUAAUUAGUCGGAUUCAAGUAUAUUAAAUUUCGUAUCAUGUAGUAGCACUUUCAUAUGGUUACAAAAACUUGCUACUAUGAAAAUCAAAUAAAUAACCUGAUAAGAAGACGUCUCAUUGAAAAUUAAGGAUAUGUGGCAAUACUUUUUGGAGCCACUGUAUAUAAUGCACUUGACUAGCAGCAUAUUUACAGUCUUUAUUACAGUCAGAUAGUCAGUUGACCGUUUUCAUUUAACCUUCGUAUUUUUCAUGAUGCUGUUUUUUUUAAAUAACAAAGGAGAUCUUACUAAGUAAUAAAACAGUUAACCAUCUGGCGAUUCGUUGCGCAACUACGUAUGGAGAUACUUUGGCUAUCGAAACAGAAACAACGCGAACGAUUGACAUUAUCGACGCUUAGAAUCGCAGAGAAUGGUUCGAGUUGCUAAAGGACCACCCAUGCAAGAGGUAUACGUAUACAAAAAUUACGCUCAUGCGGGCACUGCCUAACGAUUCGACCGCGAUAUUUUGCGUAAUUUAUUUCGCGGUUUCUUGCAUUGGAAGAAAUCCACUUUUCUCUUAUUUACAGUUUUAACUUGCAAUUUAUAUGUGUCUUUUCACCACGUGUACAGAUUAUAGCGGAUAACAAAGUUUCUGUCACUGUGAAUACUUGUACUGAUCCUCGCGUAUUUCAUUUCUCAUCGCACACAGUUUUUACGCAAUUGUCCUCUUUAUUACUUAAUAAUUACUGAAUUUAUAGUUAUUUCGUUAUUAUCUACAAAACAUAGGACAAACUCGGGUUCCUAUAAAGAUUUGAAGUGUAAUCUGUCUUUGAAAAUCCACUUCCUGAAUUUCAUUUCAUUUAAAUUUUCUUUUUAAAUCUGGUUACUAUAACUUUCACUCUAUAUUUGCCUCUACCCAUAUGAUGCGCAAUUUUAUAAGGAUAUUUCAAACGUUACUAAAAAAAUCUUGCCUCAUAGAAGCAAACGUAUUACAUAUUUGACUGUGGCAUAAGAAAUGCAAUUAAUUCACACAUUAAUGCGACCCUAGACUAGCGUUAUGGGAUCAGAAUGUUAGGAAGACAUUAAUUCGCAUUGUUUCCAGGAUUUCCAUUAUGCAAAGCGUCCAUCGGUGCAAUUUUGUGCGGCAUUCCUUGACACGAAUGCGCAUGGAAACGCACGCGUGCGCGCCGCACAGAGAGUACGAUAAAUUUUUAGAUAGACUUUAAUCGCGCCGUUGCGUUGACUGGAUACGCGGUGAAAUAUCGCCGUUACGUGCGACUCGUCGUAAUUAAAUACAUAAUAAUUCCUUGGACGUUGAGAGGAUCGACGAUUACCGUGGUUGGUGCGCACGCUGAUUCCUCGAGCGUACAUAAGCGGAAUGCAUCGAUCGAUUCAAAGUGGAGUCUGACUUCGCCUCGACGCGGUGUGUGCACCGUUAUGGCAACUACGGCUGUCAUUCGUCCGAGUCUCGACCGAAUCAAGAAUCGCUUUGCGUGGAAACUAUUGUUUCCAGUUGAGAAAUAGCAAAUCUCGUCCAACUUGGUUAGCACAAGUGGCAGCUGCUAGCCCUAUGUUUGGUUCUAUCGACAAUUACUUGUACUUUUUAUUUGGUUUGAAGCCUCCAAGAUUAAUUCACUCUAUUAGAAUGGGAUUACUUUAGUAGACUGUAAUUUUUCUCAUUAUUGUAAUUGAAGGACUGAAGGAAAAAGGUAUGUGU